UGGGGAAUUUUGGACAAUGGGCGAAAGCCUGAUCCAGCCAUGCCGCGUGAGUGAAGAAGGCCUUCGGGUUGUAAAGCUCUUUUAGUCGGGAAGAAAGAGUUGGAAUGAAUCAUUGAGAUUUAUGACGGUACCGACAGAAAAACCACCGGCUAACUACGUGCCAGCACCCUCGGUAGUACGUAGGGUGGUAGCGUUAAUCGGAAUUACUGGGCGUAAAGGGAGCGCAGGCGGUCUUGCAAGUCAGAUGUGAAAGCCCCGGGCUUAACCUGGGAAUUGCGUUUGAAACUACAAGGCUAGAGUGCAGCAGAGGGGAGUGGAAUUCCAUGUGUAGCAGUGAAAUGCGUAGAUAUGUGGAAGAACACCGAUGGCGAAGGCAGCUCCCUGGGUUGACACUGACGCUCAUGCACGAAAGCGUGGGGAGCAAACA
rnacentral:rRNA from 1 species